rnacentral:lncRNA from 10 species
AUCAGAGGCUAAGGUGAAGUUACAACGUUGCAACGAAGACUCGGCUGGCAAUCAGUCUGAUUGGUUACAGACAGCCAAUUUCCCAGCGUUGACCAGGUUUUGGGGGGAACAAAAUUAUCUGAAUAAAAUGAAGACAGCAACCGUCGUGGAUUUGGUGAAAGUUUUCUCCCAUCUCCCUCUCAAGGCCUUAAACAGGUAUGAGUUGAUUAUAGCCAAUGUUUACUUUUCUCAUUCUGAUUCAUUAUAAAACUGGGGUAAAUACGUUCAGGAAUUAGACCACGUAACAAUUAUAAUUGUCGAAGACUUUGAAACUGCAUAGUAGAUUGUGACAUUGGAGCUUUUUGUUGUGCUCAUUAGAAAGCAGGGUCUGAAACUCAGCCUGUGUAGCAAGCACGGGUGGCUCACAAGCAGAACUGGGAAAUGACACUUCUGCUCCCCAGAGCCCCCUUUCACAUCUGGGGUUCUCAUUGUUUGCCUUUUUACUUAAUGUAUUUUGUAAUGGCUGUGAAAAUUAAGCUACAAAAUGAGUGAACAUUGAAGACAAUGAUUGCUAUUGAAACUUAGGAUUUCUCAUUUCAAACUUAGCGUGUGUUUAUCCUUCGUAUUCAUUCAAUAAAUAUCUGUGGAGCAACUA